UUUGUAUAUGCAGUAAAACAAAUGGCAAUCAAUUAAUAUUAGGGCUGUUCAGGAUGUUGUGGGAAUGGUCUUGGAUUUUUAGUUGGAAUCACAUUUGCAUUUUGCAU